CCAAAUUCCUCUCCCCAAAAAUCCCUCUCCCCAAAACUUCCCCCAAAUUCCUCAAUCCCUCUCCCCCUUCCCACGAUUUCAGCCCAUAUCACCGCCACGACACCGACGGUCCGACACCACCAGCUCGCCCUCCGUCCGUCGCCGACGACGCCACGCCGCCACGACACCGUCGAGCUCCUCCUCCACCGUCGAGCUCCUCCUCCUCCACCGAGAAUGCUUUUACACAAAACUUGGAGGCAGUAAGGGGCGGCCCAAGUAGCAAUAGCUCUGUUCAAACAACUGCUUAGGCAUCAAGCGUUCGGGGUUUAUGGCCUAGCACUAUCACCGCCUACAACAUGUCAACAUGUCCCGCUUUUAGACCUAUCAUUUCUUUUUUUUCAAUUGUUUUAUGAAUUUGUUAGUACUUUGGCAGUUUGACUAUUUGGACUUUGGCAUGUUCAAUUUAUGACUUCGUAUUCGGUAAUUUGGUUGAAUUUGUAUAACACUUUGGAGUUUGGAUUUUUGUUGUUAUUUGUUA